rnacentral:rRNA from 1 species
UAAACUUUAAUUUUUCAAAUAUUAGUAUUGCAUACUAUUUUAAGAAAAUAUUAUUUGUAUAAUUUAUAGAAACAAAAAGUAAAAGGUUAAUUUUGAUUUAUUUUUACAAAACUAAUAAUAGUUAAUCUGGUUUUGAUAAAACGUUUUUUGUGAUAUCUGUUUUAUUUAUCUUUUUUAGAACAUUAUAAGUUUUAAUUUUAUUUAAGGAACACCAGAAUUAGUAGUAUUCAUUAUUUAUGUUUCAUCACUUUUUCUUUAUUAUAAUAUUUCUUACAUUAUAUUUAUCUUUAUUUAGAUAAUUACAAAAUUUAAAAAUUAGUAGAUUAUACCAAAUAAUAUAAAUUAUUAAAAUUUUAAUUAGAGAACUUGCCCGCUUGGUCAAAUGUUUUUUCAAGACUUAGGUUUUAAAAUAAAACUUGCUUCUGCCCUAUGGUAUUAAAUGGCAGUCUUAGCGUGAGGACAUUAAGGUAGCAAAAUAAUUUGUGCUUUUAUUGGGUUCCAGUAUGAAUGAAGUUAUUGGCCAGUCAUUUUCUUUUAUUUUAAUCGAAUUUAAUAUCUGUUUAAAAAAAAACAGAUGUAUUUAAACAAAGAUAAGUCUUCGGAAAUUUUUUUUAUAUAUUUUCUUUUGUUAAUAUAUAAUAUUUUCUAGGGCAGAAAUUUAUAUAAUUAUUUUUACUAAUAUUAUUUUAACGAAUUACUCCGGAGUUAACAGAAAAUCAUAUCUUAUCCAGUUCUUAUGGUAUUGAGAAGUUUUACAUCGAUGUUGUAUUCCUAUAAUCUAAAAGAGGAGAGUGUUUAGUAAUUGAGACUGUUCUUCUUAUAAAUAAUAGGACUUGAUAUUAGUUUAAUUCAUUGUGAGAUAGAAUUGUUUAUCUUGUUAAAUACACAAACAUAAUAUGUUUAUUAAAAGGAAAGCAUGA